rnacentral:lncRNA from 1 species
UAUCUAUAUACCCUACUACUAUGUAUAAAACUUACAUCCAUAAACUGACUAAUCUUACAUUUUUUUUUUUUUUACUAAAAUCUAAUAAGAAUUUUAUCAACCCUUGAAUCUAUGAGUGUAAGAUAUACAUUCUGUAGCAGAUGUACAUAUAAAAAUUAAGGCAAACUUCAAAAACUAUCUAUGUGGUUUCACACUUUCUCACUUUAGUACCAUGUGGUUUAAAGUGUAUCACUUUCCUACGCUGUGUUUUAUUUUUCUCUUUUUGCUACUAUAUCUGCUAAUUUUUUUGGUCAAAUCAGUGACAAAGUAAAAAUUAAAAGUUAUUAAAAUGCAUAUUUGAUAAACUAUAGAUGUGGUAUCUAAAGUUUUUGUAUAUGAUUUAAUAAAAAGUUAACGAAGGGACUGACGAAAAGAGAAAAAUAAAAUUAUAGAAUACUAAAUUGAUAUACUUUAAACCGCAAGUUACUAAAGUGAGAAAUUGUGAAACCACAUGGUUUGGUAUUUGAAGUUUUCCCAAAACUAAAAUUCCGGUUU